UCGCCCUAACUCGCAUUUCCUGCGUAGUUUGGAUUGGGGAGUCGGUUGCCGAUGCACCAAUUGAAGCCGCUCCUAGCGGCCGGAGGCGGCGGCAGAAGGAGCAGCGACGGCGGAUUCCGUUCUCCCGUCCUGCUGCUUCUCUUCCUCUUUGUUCUCGCUCCUUCGCUCUUCUUUGCGGCACGUGGCAGCAUCCGCGCCGCCCUCAUCUAUCCCGAGUUCAAAUUGGAGAGAACAGUACCUGUUGACUGCCUUUGGAAUAUGUGCUCACUGAUUGCUGGUUUUACUUCAAUUGCUUUUUCUUAGUCUGAGACAAGCAGUGGCUGGGCAUAUGGGAUGAAUACUGUUUACCUUAAGGAGUGGAAGAAGAAAGAUAUAACUCUUAUUUAUCACAAGUGGCAGAAAAUGAAUGAAGAGAGUGCUGUGGAAACUGGGGACACUUCCUCCAGGACUACUCACGUUUUAUAAACUGACACACACGCUGGACAAAUCAUGGCAUGUUCUUGGCUUGGGUUAUAACCCUAGCAUUGAUCACUCAGAGAUACAAAAUGCUGCUGUAGUCCAUUAUAAUGGGAACAUGAAACCAUGGUUGGAGAUGGCAAUGAUCAAGUACAGAACAUAUUGGACCAAGUACAUCAUGUAUGAUCACCCUUAUAUUACGCGAUGCAAGCUAAGCGAAUAGGAAGAAUUAGAAAGUGUCAUCAGAAAACAGCUGCAGCUCUUUUGCUCGAGAAGUUAAUCUGGAGUAAGCUGGAGAUUGUGAAGGGUUCUUCGACCUCAUAUUGCCUUAUCUUAUGAAUUAUCUUUGAAAUCCAUGAUGUCAUUCUCACCCGUCUUGUAAAUUUUCCCUUAUUGUUUGUGCCUCUGACGGAGGGAGAUUCUUCAGCUGUUCAAUUUAUCAGAAUAUAUAGCUGCAUUCUGACUCUGAUGGAGAGAGCUUCCUAGCGGUUCAAAUUCAUCAGAAUAUGUAGCUGCAUUCUGCUAACUAGGGCAUUGGACAUGCGAGCUAAAGUUCUCUGCGUAUGCGUUUCUUGCGGCUCUCCUAGUUAGAGGUCAGCACAGUUUUCUCAUGCUUUUUGUGCACAUGGAUGAUUACUGGUCCAUGUAAGGCAUAGAUAUUGAAUGCAUCAUUUUUUUUUUCCUUACUUGUGGGGUCUAUUGUGAUGCUAAUUAUUCUGGAACUGAGAAUUGAUUUUAUUUUGUUGCUUUAUUAUCAGAGAGGAUAUAUACUUAAUAUGCCAAACUAACAAAGCACCAAUGACUUGAAUGAUCAUUAUUUUAGCCUAUCUCUCUGCUACCCCCGGUUAUUUCUUUGCUUUAAAAUGUUCGUUUUAGAUGUAGUUGUUAGAUAUUUUGAUCAGUUGGAAUGCAAGUUUAAGCAGAUUGGAAAUUAAAUGCCUACUCAAUCUGACAUGGUAUAUUCUUUUGUGCAAGUAAUGGUUUUUUGUUUUCUUUUUUUAUAUAAUGUGUAAUUGGUUAAGACAGGUUUUGAUUCUGAAACUCAUGAUGAAUGACUCAUGAUGAAUAAAUAUAUCGGAUGAAGUUUCGUCUCAGCCUUUGGUAGUGCAUAUGACUUGCAAUUUUUAUUUGCACACCACCAUAAAAUAAGGCAAACUAAAAACCUUCUAUUUUUACGUUUUGUAUUAGCAUUUGUUUUUCAUUUAUUUUUGUAGCACAUCCUUUAUUUCCUAAAAAAUAAAAUUAGUUGUAAUAUCUGCCCCAUCAUCUCAUCAUGGUUGUUGACGUUGCUAGCUCUCUUUGUCUCGUCGCUCUUGCCUCUUCUCAUUUUUUUGAUCUCUUCCUCUUUGUUGUCUUAGUCGCCAUCAUUCUUCAUCGUCAUAUAUAUUCUUGUCAUCCCAUCAUGAGGUCCUAUCAUCCUUGUCUCUCCUCCCCUUUGUUGAUGCAAUUAUCAUGUUGCAUGCCACCUAUGCCUUGUCGCCCUCACCUUCCUCCCCUUUUCAUUCGACCUCUUCUCUAUCGUGCUUGACCAUCACGACCUUUGUCAUCUCCCUGCUCCAUGGGGAGUAGAUGGUGUCGAAAUUCAACGAAGGGGAGGG